rnacentral:rRNA from 1 species
GACGAACGCUGGCGGCGUGCUUAACACAUGCAAGUCGAACGGAAAGGCCCUGCUUUUGUGGGGUGCUCGAGUGGCGAACGGGUGAGUAACACGUGAGUAACCUGCCCUUGACUUUGGGAUAACUUCAGGAAACUGGGGCUAAUACCGGAUAGGAGCUCCUGCUGCAUGGUGGGGGUUGGAAAGUUUCGGCGGUUGGGGAUGGACUCGCGGCUUAUCAGCUUGUUGGUGGGGUAGUGGCUUACCAAGGCUUUGACGGGUAGCCGGCCUGAGAGGGUGACCGGCCACAUUGGGACUGAGAUGCGGCCCAGACUCCUACGGGAGGCAGCAGUGGGGAAUAUUGCACAAUGGGCGGAAGCCUGAUGCAGCAACGCCGCGUGCGGGAUGACGGCCUUCGGGUUGUAAACCGCUUUCGCCUGUGACGAAGCGUGAGUGACGGUAAUGGGUAAAGAAGCACCGACUAACUACGUG